rnacentral:rRNA from 1 species
AACGAACGCUGGCGGCAUGCCUAACACAUGCAAGUCGAACGAGACCUUCGGGUCUAGUGGCGCACGGGUGCGUAACGCGUGGGAACCUGCCCUUAGGUUCGGAAUAAAUCCCCGAAAGGGGUGCUAAUACCGGAUAAUGUCUUCGGACCAAAGAUUUAUCGCCGUGGGAUGGGCCCGCGUUGGAUUAGCUAGUUGGUAGGGUAAAAGCCUACCAAGGCGACGAUCCAUAGCUGGUCUGAGAGGAUGAUCAGCCACACUGGGACUGAGACACGGCCCAGACUCCUACGGGCGGCAGCAGUGGGGAAUAUUGGACAAGGGGCGAAAGCCUGAUCCAGCAAUGCCGCGUGAGUGAUGAAGGCCUUAGGGUUGUAAAGCUCUUUUACCCGGGAUGAUAAUGACAGUACCGGGAGAAUAAGCUCCGGCUAACUCCGU